rnacentral:rRNA from 1 species
GACGAACGCUGGCGGCGUGCCUAAUACAUGCAAGUCGAGCGCAGGAAACUGACGGAACUCUUCGGAGGGAAGGCAGUGGAAUGAGCGGCGGACGGGUGAGUAACACGUAAGGAACCUGCCUCAAGGAUUGGGAUAACUCCGAGAAACCGGAGCUAAUACCGGAUAGUUCAACGGACCGCAUGGUCCGCUGAUGAAAGGCGCUCCGGCGUCACCUUGAGAUGGCCUUGCGGUGCAUUAGCUAGUUGGUGGGGUAACGGCCCACCAAGGCGACGAUGCAUAGCCGAACUGAGAGGGUGAUCGGCCACCCUGGGACUGAGACACGGCCCAGACUCCUACGGGAGGCAGCAGUAGGGAAUCUUCCACAAUGGACGAAAGUCUGAUGGAGCAACGCCGCGUGAGUGAUGAAGGUUUUCGGAUCGUAAAACUCUGUUGUAAGGGAAGAACACGUACGAGAGGAAAUGCUCGUACCUUGACGGUACCUUACGAGAAAGCCACGGCUAACUACGUGCCAGCCGCCGCGGUAACAC